rnacentral:rRNA from 1 species
AUUGAACGCUGGCGGCAGGCCUAACACAUGCAAGUCGAGCGGAUGAAGAGAGCUUGCUCUCUGAUUUAGCGGCGGACGGGUGAGUAAUGCCUAGGAAUCUGCCUGGUAGUGGGGGAUAACGUUCCGAAAGGAGCGCUAAUACCGCAUACGUCCUACGGGAGAAAGCAGGGGACCUUCGGGCCUUGCGCUAUCAGAUGAGCCUAGGUCGGAUUAGCUAGUUGGUGAGUUAAUGGCUCACCAAGGCUACGAUCCGUAACUGGUCUGAGAGGAUGAUCAGUCACACUGGAACUGAGACACGGUCCAGACUCCUACGGGAGGCAGCAGUGGGGAAUAUUGGACAAUGGGCGAAAGCCUGAUCCAGCCAUGCCGCGUGUGUGAAGAAGGUCUUCGGAUUGUAAAGCACUUUAAGUUGGGAGGAAGGGCAGUAAGUUAAUACCUUGCUGUUUUGACGUUACCGACAGAAUAAGCACCGGCUAACUUCGUGCCAGCAGCCGCAGUAAUAC